UACGGGGGGGGGCAAGCGUUGUUCGGAAUUACUGGGCGUAAAGCGCACGUAGGCGGAUCGAUCAGUCAGGGGUGAAAUCCCAGGGCUCAACCCUGGAACUGCCUUUGAUACUGUCGAUCUGGAGUAUGGAAGAGGUGAGUGGAAUUCCGAGUGUAGAGGUGAAAUUCGUAGAUAUUCGGAGGAACACCAGUGGCGAAGGCGGCUCACUGGUCCAUUACUGACGCUGAGGUGCGAAAGCGUGGGGAGCAAACAGGG
rnacentral:rRNA from 1 species